UACGUAGGUGACAAGCGUUGUCCGGAUUUACUGGGCGUAAAGAGCGCGCAGGCGGUCGAUCAAGUCGAGUGUGAAAGCCCCCCGGCUCAACUGGGGAGGGUCGUGCGAUACGGUCGGGCUGGAGGCCAGUAGGGGGAUGCGGAAUUCCGGGUGUAGCGGUGAAAUGCGUAGAUAUCUGGAGGAACACCGGUGGCGAAGGCGGCAUCCUGGACCGAUACUGACGCUGAGGAGCGAAAGCCAGGGGAGCAAAGCGGG
rnacentral:rRNA from 1 species